rnacentral:rRNA from 1 species
CGGACGGGUGAGUAACGCGUGAGAAUCUGCCCCCAGGUUCGGGAUAACGGAGGGAAACCACCGCUAAUACCGGAUGUGACUGGGAAAGUCAAAGGUUAACUGCCUGGGGAUGAGCUUGCGUCCGAUUAGCUAGUUGGUGGGGUAAGAGCCUACCAAGGCGACGAUCAGUAGCUGGUCUGAGAGGAUGAUCAGCCACACUGGGACUGAGACACGGCCCAGACUCCUACGGGAGGCAGCAGUGGGGAAUUUUCCGCAAUGGGCGCAAGCCUGACGGAGCAAUACCGCGUGAGGGAGGAAGGCCCUUGGGUUGUAAACCUCUUUUGUCAGGGAAGAAGGUCUGACGGUACCUGACGAAUCAGCAUCGGCUAACUCCGUGCCAGCAGCCGCGGUAAUACGGAGGAUGCAAGCGUUAUCCGGAUUUAUUGGGCGUAAAGGGUCCGCAGGUGGUUAUUCAAGUCUGCUGUCAAAGCGCGGAGCUUAACUCCGUACAGGCGGUGGAAACUGAGGAACUAGAGUCUGGUAGGGGUCGCGGGAAUUCCCAGUGUAGCGGUGAAAUGCGUAGAUAUUGGGAAGAACACCGGCGGCGAAAGCGCGCGACUGGACCGGAACUGACACUGAGGGACGAAAGCUAGGGGAGCGAAAGGGAUUAGAUACCCCUGUAGUC